rnacentral:rRNA from 1 species
UACGUAGGGAGCAAGCGUUGUCCGGAAUCAUUGGGCGUAAAGCGCGCGUCGGCGGCCCGAUAAGUCCGCUGUAAAAGUCAACGGCUCAACUGUUGAAAGCCGGUGGAUACUGUCGGGCUAGAGUACGGAAGAGGCAAGUGGAAUUCCUGGUGUAGCGGUGGAAUGCGCAGAUAUCAGGAGGAACACCCAUAGCGAAGGCAGCUUGCUGGGACGUUACUGACGCUAAGGCGCGAAAGCGUGGGGAGCGAACAGG